rnacentral:rRNA from 1 species
UUUGAUCCUGGCUCAGGACGAACGCGGCGGCGUGCUUAACACAUGCAAGUCGAACGAAAUUAAAAAAUUAUCAUUGAGCUCUCCGAUGAGAUGGGAGCCAAGCGUCGUGACCGCGGAGCGGGCACCACGCGUUCAACAAGUGCAACACCAAGUCGAAGGGUUGAAUGGUAAUUUUUUAAUCUAGUGGCAAACGGGUGAGUAACACGUAGACAACCUGCCGACAGGAUGGGGACAACAUUCCGAAAGGAAUGCUAAUACCGAAUGAAGCGGAGGAGAGGCAUCUCUCCUCCGUGAAAGAUGGCCUCUAUUUAUAAGCUAUCACCUGUUGAUGGGUCUGCGUCUGAUUAGCUGGUUGGUGAGGUAACGGCUCACCAAGGCGACGAUCAGUAGCCGGUCUGAGAGGAUGAACGGCCACAUUGGGACUGAGACACGGCCCAGACUCCUACGGGAGGCAGCAGUGGGGAAUCUUCCGCAAUGGGCGCAAGCCUGACGGAGCAACGCCGCGUGAGUGAAGAAGGUCUUCGGAUCGUAAAGCUCUGUUGACGGGGACGAACGUGCGGAGUGCGAAUAGCGCUUUGUAAUGACGGUACCUAUCGAGAAGCC